UUGACCUCGAAUCAGGUAGGAAUACCCGCUGAACUUAAGCAUAUCAAUAAGCGGAGGAAAAGAAACCAACCGGGAUUACCUCAGUAACGGCGAGUGAAGCGGUAACAGCUCAAAUUUGAAAUCUGGCUCCUCUGGAGUCCGAGUUGUAAUUUGUAGAAGAUGCUUUGGGCGGUGGGUUCGGCCUAAGUUCCUUGGAACAGGACGUCAUAGAGGGUGAGAAUCCCGUAUGUGGCCGAGGCCCCACGCCUAUGUAAAGCUCUUUCAACGAGUCGAGUUGUUUGGGAAUGCAGCUCAAAAUGGGUGGUAAAUUUCAUCUAAAGCUAAAUAUGGGCCAGAGACCGAUAGCGCACAAGUAGAGUGAUCGAAAGAUGAAAAGCACUUUGGAAAGAGAGUUAAACAGUACGUGAAAUUGUUGAAAGGGAAGCGCUUGCAACCAGACUUGGGCGCUGCCGAUCACCAAGAGUUCGUCUCGAGUGCACUCGACAGCGCACAGGCCAGCAUCGGUUCGGGUGGCUGGAUAAAGGCCGUAGGAACGUGGCUCCCUUCGGGGAGUGUUAUAGCCUACGGUGCCAUGCAGCCCAGCCGGACCGAGGACCGCGCCUUCGGGCUAGGAUGCUGGCGUAAUGGUUGUAAGCGACCCGUCUUGAAACACGGACCAAGGAGUCUAACAUCUAUGCGAGUGUUUGGGUG
rnacentral:rRNA from 1 species